CAGCAGCCGCGGGAACACGUAGGGUGCAAGCGUUAAUCGGAAUUACUGGGCGUAAAGCGUGCGCAGGCGGUUAUAUAAGACAGAUGUGAAAUCCCCGGGCUCAACCUGGGAACUGCAUUUGUGACUGUAUAGCUAGAGUACGGCAGAGGGGGAUGGAAUUCCGCGUGUAGCAGUGAAAUGCGUAGUUAUGCGGAGGAACACCGAUGGCGAAGGCAAUCCCCUGGGCCUGUACUGACGCUCAUGCACGAAAGCGUGGGGAGCAAACAGGAUUAGAUACCCCUGUAGUCCCUGUCUCUUAUAC
rnacentral:rRNA from 1 species